CCCUUAGAUGUUCUGGGCCGCACGCGCGCUACACUGAUGCAUUCAACGAGUCUAAAACCUGGUCUGAUAGGGCUGGGUAAUCUUUUGAAUGUGCAUCGUGAUUGGGAUAGAUGAUUGCAAUUCUUCAUCUUCAACGAGGAAUGCCUAGUAAACGCAAGUCAUCAACUUGCAUUGAUUACGUCCCUGCCCUUUGUACACACCGCCCGUCGCUCCUACCGAUUGAAUGUUCCGAUGAAUACCAUGGACUGAGAGUAUGAAUGGGUUCGCCUAUUUCUGCUUCUCGGGAAGUGGAGUAAAUCUUAACAUUUAGAGGAAGGAGAAGUCGUAACA
rnacentral:rRNA from 1 species